ensembl:lncRNA
AUGGGAUGAACACAGAACAGACUUGGACCUGUCAUCACUUUCCUCACAGUCGCAUUCUUCCUGUGGUUCAUGUGGCCUACACCUGUGAUAUACUGGCAGCAAGGCAUGAGAGGCUCCCAGGUUCAAAGCAAAGGCUCAUACCUUUGUUCCUGCCUCAACACCAAAGGAUUCUUCAGUUAGAACUGGUAACAGCCUGGAGUAAGGAAUGUACAAAGAAUGUGAAUUCUGCACUUCUGCUAUAAGUACCUGUACCUAUGUAACAAGAAUAAUAUGGGGUGGAGCUUCUCAUUACAGCUGGGCAGAGAUUUUUCUACAUGCUGUGGAGUGGGGUAAAUGGUGGCCAAGGGCUGAAAGCAUGUUAACAGCCAUGAGCUUAUUGCCUUUUCUUUUAUUUACCUUUGGAUCCAAUGAGCUAAACUACCCACUGGAAAACCAGAUCAUUUGUCAGCAAUGUUAAUCUGUGAAAGUUAUUAAAUAUCAAAUGCAGUAAUUGUUAAAGGAGGUCAGAUGGCUCUGAUUUUAGCAAUGCAAGCCCUAAUGAUCUUUUAUUUUUCUGCCAUUUUCCGUGUAAAUUAUAAGCUAUGUGAGUUUUAAUGUCUGGUUCAUCUAUAAAGUUGAAAACUGUACUGUCAAAUGAAAUAAAAGUUUGUACUAGAUUAACAAGAAUGAGGUUAAAUAGUGAAUUUCAGAAACAGAAUACUGGAUUUUUUGGAACCAGGUUUUAUUGAAGCACCUGGAAGCACUCAAGAAUCAAGCAAGACUUUACAAAUCAUUUCAGAAAUUGAACUUUUAAUUCAUUUAAAAUUUCAAAUUAGCUCAUCUGUAUACCUCGAAAUUUAGCACUGUUUAAAUAUUCAUACCUGAACAGUGAAAAAUAUCCCUAUUUAACAACAAUAGAUCUGAAGUUUGUAAUUCUGAAUAUAAUCAAGAAAACAAGAACAGAAUUGUAAUUUAAUAUAGCUUAACUAAAUCACUCAGAUGCUAUACGUAUUAAAGAAGUGAUUCAGUUUUACAUUAAGCAAAAGUAUCACUUCUUCAUAUUUGACAUUUUCAGGCUGAACAGCUUAACUUAAAAUCUGUUUUAAAAAAUGCACUUAUUCUUUUCACAUCUGGGUAGAAUUCUCAAGGAAUAUUCCACGGUACUUUGUUUCACAGCUGUGCUUUGGGACACCUUGGCACACGAGGCAACAAGAAAGAGACAGCAGCUAUUACGACCAGGCUUCAUCACUCCAGUUCUGAAACCAUCUUCAGCAGCAUUUCAGAGACGAAUGGCCUUGUCAGUUCAUAUUUUAGGAAACCACGUGGCAGGUUCAUAUAAAUAGGUAGAGCUGCUUCAAGCAAUAAGGAUUUCCUUCAUCCGUCACUUAGAAGUUGCAAAGACUGAUCUGAAGGCCGCAGAAAGGAAGAGGAUGCAAUUUUGUUGUAAAGAGACCACAGGAAGAAAAAUGUUCAGACUAAAAAUUCAGAUUGAGAUUUUGAUCACCUGACAGAUGAAUGUGAAGCUAGUGGCAGCUAGUGUUUCAUGUAAAUGUUGUUCGUGAUUUUCAAUGUUCAAUCUCUG